rnacentral:misc_RNA from 1 species
GUUCCAUUUGUGGGCUGAUGUGCCCUAACCAAUGGGGCCAGGAAGGUUUUUGGGAUGUGGUCAAUUACCUAAGCCCAAGCCGGGAACGACCAGAAAUUAAUGCGGGGAACCAAAAAUAUUUUGGCUCAGAUAUUCGGGAUCCCUCAAAGCUCCUUUUAAGGACGAAGGUGAAGGAUCAAUGCUGAGACUUGAAGACCUAGGUGACCAGAGAUAUGCCCCAUACAAAUACAUGUUGAGGUUGUGUUACAGAGUUCUCAGACAUUCCCAGCAGGACUAUAGGAAGAGCCGGGAAUAUAUUGCUAAGAACUUCUGCGUCAUGCAGUCCCAGAUUGGUUAUGAUAUUUUGGCAGAAGACACCAUCACCACUUUGCUGCACAACAACAGAAAGCUGCUAGAGAAACACAUCACGGCUAAAGAAAU